rnacentral:ncRNA from 19 species
UAAGUUUAUCGAGAUUUAGGAUAGUUAGCGCUAGGUGGUGAAGUUGGUGUAAUUCCAACACUGUCCCGCAACGGUAAAGUCCGAUCCCAAGCUAGCGAAAUCUUU